rnacentral:rRNA from 1 species
UACAGAGGGUGCGAGCGUUGUCCGGAAUCACUGGGCGUAAAGGGCGCGUAGGCGGCUCAGUAAGGUUGCGGUGAAAGCCCGGGGCUCAACCCCGGAAUGUCUCUCGAAACUGCGCGGCUCGAGUGCGGAAGAGGCAACUGGAAUUCCCAGUGUAGCGGUGAAAUGCGUAGAUAUUGGGAAGAACACCUGAGGCGAAGGCGGGUUGCUGGGCCGACACUGACGCUGAGGCGCGAAAGCCAGGGGAGCAAACGGG